AGUGAACGCUGGCGGUAGGCCUAACACAUGCAAGUCGAACGGCAGCACAGUAAGAGCUUGCUCUUACGAGUGGCGAGUGGCGGACGGGUGAGGAAUACAUCGGAAUCUACUUUUUCGUGGGGGAUAACGUAGGGAAACUUACGCUAAUACCGCAUACGACCUACGGGUGAAAGCAGGGGAUCUUCGGACCUUGCGCGAUUGAAUGAGCCGAUGUCGGAUUAGCUAGUUGGCGGGGUAAAGGCCCACCAAGGCGACGAUCCGUAGCUGGUCUGAGAGGAUGAUCGGCCACACUGGAGCUGAGACACGGACCAGACUCCUACGGGAGGCAGCAGUGGGGAAUAUUGGACAAUGGGCGCGAGCCUGAUCCAGCCAUACCGCGUGGGUGAAGAAGGCCUUCGGGUUGUAAAGCCCUUUUGUUGGGAAAGAAAAGCAGCAGGUUAAUACCCCGCUGUUCUGACGGUACCCAAAGAAUAAGCACCGGCUAACUUCGUG
rnacentral:rRNA from 1 species